rnacentral:rRNA from 1 species
AACCUCACUUGUGGGGGGAUUAGUGGCGAACGGGUGAGUAACACGUGAGUAACCUGCCCUUGACUCUGGGAUAAGCCUGGGAAACCGGGUCUAAUACUGGAUACGACCUUCUGGCGCAUGCCAUGUUGGUGGAAAGCUUUUGUGGUUUUGGAUGGACUCGCGGCCUAUCAGCUUGUUGGUGGGGUAAUGGCCUACCAAGGCGACGACGGGUAGCCGGCCUGAGAGGGUGACCGGCCACACUGGGACUGAGACACGGCCCAGACUCCUACGGGAGGCAGCAGUGGGGAAUAUUGCACAAUGGGCGCAAGCCUGAUGCAGCGACGCCGCGUGAGGGAUGAAGGCCUUCGGGUUGUAAACCUCUUUCAGUAGGGAAGAAGCCGGCCUUUUGGGUUGGUGACGGUACCUGCAGAAGAAGCGCCGGCUAACUACGUGCCAGCAGCCGCGGUAAUACGUAGGGCGCAAGCGUUAUCCGGAAUUAUUGGGCGUAAAGAGCUCGUAGGCGGUUUGUCGCGUCUGCCGUGAAAGUCCGGGGCUUAACCCCGGAUCUGCGGUGGGUACGGGCAGACUAGAGUGCAGUAGGGGAGACUGGAAUUCCUGGUGUAGCGGUGAAAUGCGCAGAUAUCAGGAGGAACACCGAUGGCGAAGGCAGGUCUCUGGGCUGUAACUGACGCUGAGGAGCGAAAGCAUGGGGAGCGAACAGGAUUAGAUACCCUGGUAGUCCAUGCCGUAAACGUUGGGCACUAGGUGUGGGGGACAUUCCACGUUUUCCGCGCCGUAGCUAACGCAUUAAGUGCCCCGCCUGGGGAGUACGGCCGCAAGGCUAAAACUCAAAGGAAUUG